rnacentral:misc_RNA from 1 species
CAACCCUUAAGCCUAGCUUAGUGUUGGGAGUCUACGAGUGGGCCAUGCUACCCUGUAGCGUGGUUACCCUGUAGUUCCUGAAAAUCAACGGCGGAUUUACAGUAUCCUCUGAGCGUAGUAAUUUUUUAUCUCGCUUCUGUUUAGGUGCUGUGAAUUCUGCCGCUAAACCCCCAAUUUUUAAU